AACGAACGCUGGCGGCAUGCCUAACACAUGCAAGUCGAACGAGACCUUCGGGUCUAGUGGCGCACGGGUGCGUAACGCGUGGGAACCUGCCCUUAGGUUCGGAAUAACUCCCCGAAAGGGGUGCUAAUACCGGAUAAUGUCUUCGGACCAAAGAUUUAUCGCCUUUGGAUGGGCCCGCGUUGGAUUAGCUAGUGGGUAGGGUAAAAGCCUACCAAGGCGACGAUCCAUAGCUGGUCUGAGAGGAUGAUCAGCCACACUGGGACUGAGACACGGCCCAGACUCCUACGGGAGGCAGCAGUGGGGAAUAUUGGACAAUGGGCGAAAGCCUGAUCCAGCAAUGCCGCGUGAGUGAUGAAGGCCUUGGGGUUGUAAAGCUCUUUUACCCGGGAUGAUAAUGACAGUACCGGGAGAAUAAGCUCCGGCUAACUCCGUG
rnacentral:rRNA from 1 species